UGGGGAAUAUUGCACAAUGGGGGAAACCCUGAUGCAGCGACGCCGCGUGAGCGAUGAAGGCUUUCGAGUCGUAAAGCUCUGUCCUAUGGGAAGAUAAUGACGGUACCAUAGAAGAAAGCCCCGGCUAAUUACGUGCCAGCAGCCGCGGUAAUACGUAAGGGGCGAGCGUUGUCCGGAAUUAUUGGGCGUAAAGAGUGCGUAGGCGGCAAUGCAAGUCAGAUGUAAAAGGCAAAGGCUCAACCUUUGUAAGCAUCUGAAACUGUAUAGCUUGAGAAGUGUAGAGGCAAGUGGAAUUUUUAGUGUAGCGGUGAAAUGCGUAGAUAUUAAAAAGAAUACCGGUGGCGAAGGCGACUUGCUGGGCACAAUCUGACGCUGAGGAACGAAAGCGUGGGGAGCAAACAGG
rnacentral:rRNA from 1 species